AAAUGCUAGUUAAAAAAUAACAAUGCCUUGUCAAGGCUUAGUUACCAGUGGGUGUAUUUCC
rnacentral:tRNA from 1 species